GUUCAUUGUGACAUCAAAGGUAGGAACGUCUUAAUAGGGAAAACUGGCGCCAAAAUUGCGGAUUUUGGGUGUGCGAAGAGGGUCGACGCGGUGGAGGCUGCGGCUGAGUCAGCUGCGCCAAUUGGCGGCACACCCAUGUUUAUGGCACCGGAGGUGGCGCGUGGAGAGGAACAGGGGUUUGCUAGUGAUAUAUGGGCUUUAGGGUGUACAAUUAUUGAAAUGGCUAGUGGUGGUGCUGCACUGUGGUCUGAUGCCAAUGAUCCAGUUUCUGUCAUGUACCGGAUUGGAUUUUCGGAUCAGUUGCCGGAAUUCCCCUGUUCUCUAUCAGAGCCAGCAAGAGAUUUCUUGGACAAGUGUUUAAGGAGGGAUCCAAAACAGAGGUGGACAGCAAAUCAACUUCUGAAGCAUCCGUUUCUGAUGAAAUCCAAUUCCAAUUCUCAGGCAAAACAAAUUCAAGAAUCUAAUUCAAGUUCAAAUUCGCCUACAAGCAUUCUUGACCAAGGCUUUUGGAACUCAAUGGAUGAAUCAGAAUCAGAGAAAGUGGACAAUCUUGUCCCCUCAAGUGAUGAAAGUUCAGCCAAGGAGAGGAUCAGACGGCUGUCCUUGCUUUCAGGGGGACCCAGUUGGAAUUGGGAUGAGAAUUGGAUCCCAAUUAGAGGCAAUUGUCGUCGGGACGGUGAUACAAUGAUGGAUUCAAUUGAAGCUAAGGAUGACGUGAUCAAUUACAGUUCAGUGUACCAAGAAAGCUAUGGUGGUGGUGAGCAAUUGUCGGACGACUUGUUAGAUAGCAAUAUUAACAAUAGAAUUAGUGGGGACUUCUUGGGUGCCUGUAAAUAUGGGAAAGAUAGUUUUCUAAUUAGAAGUAAUCUAGAGUUUGAUAAGCACAAAGAUUCCUUGUUAAAUUCUUAUAUUCCAAGAUUAAUUUUACAAGC
rnacentral:misc_RNA from 1 species